CUAAAAAAAAUAACGUUUCAAUCAUCUAUAAUCACCGAUGUUCUCUCUUUCUUUUCUGUGACGCCCAGCCUCUCCCACUUUUCUUUCUUACGGAGAAACCCUAGCCUUAAUCCUUUCUGCCUCUGAUCUUCCCUUUCUCCCUUUUCUUUUUUCCUCAUGAUUUUUUUUAUUAUAUCUUGAUUCGUAGGUUUUAUUUUCUGGAAAUUUUAUUCUAACCCGUGCUCAUGUUUUUGUGUUUGUUUGUUGCAGUGGUUCAUGUUUAUAAUCUCACAGUCGAGUGAUUGCACUCCCGUGUUGGGUAGGGUUCUGAUUUACUAUCUUUAGCUCUUCACUCUUCUGCAUCAAAUAAUUGGUGGUUUUCUUUCGCUGUUUAUUUUUCCUUCACCAUGGUCAGGUGUAGCUCUCUGAAUCCCAGUCAGAGCAUAAAAACCAAGCCCUAAAUUUCUUCUCAUCCCUUCCCAAAUCUCUUAUGAUAAAAUUGAAAAAAAUCUUUUCUCCCAGUUGUCUUACAGCAUAUCACAUGAUAGCAUAUUGGGUAGGGUUCUGAUUUACUAUCUUUAGCUCUUCACUCUUCUGCAUCAAAUAAUUGGUGGUUUUCUGUCGCUGUUUAUUUUUCGUUCACCAUGGUCAGGUGUAGCUAUGGCACAAGAUUUUCAAGCUUUCUGAAUCCCAGUCAGAUCAUAAAAACCAAGCCCUAAAUUUCUUCACAUCCCUUCCCAAAUCUCUUAUGUCAUGAAAAUUAUUUUUCUGGAUUUUUGAUAAAAUUGAAAAAAAUCUUUUCUCCCAGUUGUCUUAAGACAUAUCACAUGAUAGCAAUGCGGAGUAGUAAGUAUGAUGCUUGCAGAAGAAAAGGAAGGAAUUUGCGAGUAAAGGAAUGAUCGUGGAGGUUGUAAAGGUUAUGCAUAUCCUGGACCCCAGCUUCUUUGAGCAUAAUCCUAUUCCUCUUCUUCAUAUCAUCUUUGUGUAGAUUCUUUGUUUUGUAGGGAUUAUGAACACUGGUGCAAAAUAUUGUUAAUAGAAAUGUAUGAGAUUCUUAUCUGCGAAAUUUAAAACUGUUUGCAAGAACUGAAGGGUGGAAAUUCUUAAGAGCUAAUAGAUCGAAAUCCAGCAAUUCUGAAGAGCUAAUGAUGCUUUUCAUGAACAUGAAAUCCAGCUAUUCCCUGGUCAAAUUGAAUGGGCAAGUCUUAUAGACUUUUCACAAUUAAUUUGAGAGGCAUGGUGGUGUGUUGGUUUAGUCAUUGUUCAUUUCUUUAAUUAUUUGUAAAUCUAAUUUUGGAAUUAAGAUCAAGUGAUAUGAAAGAUGUGGUACAGGUCUCUAUAGAUACUUUUCAAUGUAGUUUAAUAUGGAUACUUUUCAUUGACUAAUGCUAGAAACAAUCAUACAGACUUCAAUUUCUUUUUGUUGACUAAUGCUAGAGAUAUUUCUACAGGGAUCCAAUUUAUUUAUAUUGAGGCAUAUAGACGGAGUCAUGGAGAUGUUUUUAGCAUUAGUUUCUGCAAUGGUUCCCAAAAUUAAAACUAAUGGGGUGAAAAUUGUGCAGUACGUAAGUAAUUUAAUUACAAAGGUAUUCAAACAAGCCAGUAUAAGUGAAUUUCAGGUUCUUCUUUGGUCUAGAUACUCUAAACAUACAGACUUUUACGGUCCUAAAUGUGCAUUUGUUUUAGACCACAGAUGGCGUUCUCUACUGGACAGUUAAUAUACACAAUCCCCUCCGCAUGGGAGAGAGAUUAAUUUUUUUUAAUGAACUCAAUCAGAUUCAGUUCCUUAAUGGUUCAUAUGGGUUCAUUUCUUUUUUUCCCAUACCUUAUUUGCUGGCUAUAAUUAGUCAUGUUCAUAUAUUAUUGCUGUAUAGGUUUUAAAUCCGAAAAAAGUAAAAAGUGUUCAGUAGUGGCAUUUUAGUCACCCCUACAAGGAUUAAUUACACAUGGAUAUUGGUGUCAUCCCCUGAUGCCUAUUUUGAUUUUGGUCACUACCCUUUAGACUUUAGCACUUAAUUUGGUCCAUAAUGAAGUAUGGUACAGAUUUCAACCACGUCUUCUAUCCUUUCUCCGCUAAUAUUGGUAGUAUAGGCAUGUCUUCUAUGAAGCUUAGGAAUAUUUAACUAACUCAAUGAGAAUUGAACUCAUUCAUGAUUAUUCUUACAGUUUGGUGGUUGUUUUCCAAGUCAAUAAGUAUUACUGUUCUGUUAUUCUUUAUACAUCUCUUGAACUUUCAGUUCUAUUUCCAUUGCAUGGUAUUUGUACACAAUCUAGAAAUAGAUGGAUAUCUAACCUGCCACUUCUUUAUUUUAGAUGAUGAUUUUCCAAGUUAAUUGUAAUGUUGAUGUUGGGUUUCUUUUGUUGAAAUUAGGAGGAAGAUUCUGAAUUGAUUAUGAUAACCGGACAGGUAGCUUUCUGUUGACAAGGAUAUAAUCAGAGGAAUGCAGCAUAAGCCCAUGUUGGAGGCAGGAAAUGUUUCCGACAAAUAUGGCCACGGCGGGAAGAGAAGCUGUUCAUGAUGUUGCUAUGAGUUGAGCAUCCAGAUAUUAGAAUGCCACCACUAUUUGGCAUGAUGCUCCUUUUGGACAAAAGUUUGGACACAUCGUCUACAUAGAAAACUAAAGUUAUUCGUGGACAGGCUGCCGGUGCUGCUGCUAAGGCAGACAAGCUUAGUUCAUGGCUGUAUAGAUAUUAGUGUGUAAAGAGAACUAAAAUUAGGUCUCUUUGUGAACCACACGGUCUGUUGUUUGACAAAAUACCGAAUGUAACAACUUUAUUUGGUGUAAGUACUCACUGUGGAAGUCAGUUCAACAAUACUAUCAGAAAAUGACCG